rnacentral:rRNA from 1 species
UACGAAGGGGGCGAGCGUUGUUCGGAUUUACUGGGCGUAAAGGGCGCGCAGGCGGCUCAUUUUGUCAGGCGUGAAAGCCCCGGGCUUAACCUGGGAACUGCGUUUGAUACGGAUGGGCUAGAGUUCGGGAGAGGAGAGUGGAAUUCCCAGUGUAGAGGUGAAAUUCGUAGAUAUUGGGAAGAACACCGGUGGCGAAGGCGGCUCUCUGGACCGAUACUGACGCUGAGGCGCGAAAGCGUGGGGAGCAAA